rnacentral:tRNA from 2 species
GCCAUUGUGGUGGAAUCGGUAAACACAUCAAAUUUAAAAUUUGACUAUUAUGAGUUCAAAUCUCAUCAGUGGUA